UACGUAGGGGGCUAGCGUUGUCCGGAAUCGUUGGGCGUAAAGCGCGUGUAGGCGGUCCGGUAAGUCCGCUGUGAAAGUCAGGGGCUCAACCCUUGAAAGCCGGCCGAUACUGUCGGACUAGAGUCCGGAAGAGGCAAGUGGAAUUCCCGGUGUAGCGGUGAAAUGCGCAGAUAUCGGGAGGAACACCAAUGGCGAAGGCAGCUUGCUGGGACGGUACUGACGCUGAGGCGCGAAAGCGUGGGGAGCAAACAGG
rnacentral:rRNA from 1 species